AGAGUUUGAUCCUGGCUCAGAACGAACGCUGGCGGCGCGUUUUAAGCAUGCAAGUCUAAGGGGUGUAGCAAUACACAACUGGCGAACGGGUGAGUAACACGUGAGAAUCUAUCUUAUGAUGGGGGAUAGCCGGUAGAAAUACCGGGUAAUACCGCAUAUGCUGUGAGGCAAAAGCUACUUUUGUAGCGUCAUUAGGUGAGCUUGCGGUUCAUUAGCUAGUUGGUAGGGUAAAGGCCUACCAAGGCAACGAUGGAUAGCCGGCCUGAGAGGGUGAACGGCCACAUUGGGACUGAGACACGGCCCAGACUCCUACGGGAGGCAGCAGCUAAGAAUAUUCCGCAAUGGGAGAAAUCCUGACGGAGCGACGCCGCGUGAACGAUGAAGGCCGAAAGGUUGUAAAGUUCUUUUAUACGGGAAGAAUAAGGUUAGGAGUAGAAAGCCUAAUCGAUGACGGUGCCGUAUGAAUAAGCCCCGGCUAACUACGUGCCAGCAGCCGCGGUAAUACGUAGGGGGCAAGCGUUGUUCGGAUUCAUUGGGCGUAAAGGGCAUGUAGGCGGCUGGAUAAGUGUGGAUUUAAAGACCGAGGCUUAACCUCGAGUAUGGUCUGCAAACUGUCCGGCUAGAGUGCGGUAUGGGAAACUGGAAUUCCACGUGUAGGGGUGAAAUCUGUAGAGAUGUGGAAGAAUACCUGUGGCGAAAGCGAGUUUCUGAUCUGCAACUGACGCUGAGAUGCGAAAGUGUGAGGAGCGAACAGGAUUAGAUACCCUGGUAGUCC
rnacentral:rRNA from 1 species